rnacentral:rRNA from 1 species
GACGAACGCUGGCGGCGUGCCUAACACAUGCAAGUCGAGCGAAUGAAGUUCCUUCGGGAAUGGAUUUAGCGGCGGACGGGUGAGUAACACGUGGGCAACCUGCCUCAUAGAGGGGAAUAGCCUUCCGAAAGGAAGAUUAAUACCGCAUAAGAUUGUAGUGCCGCAUGGUACAGCAAUUAAAGGAGCAAUCCGCUAUGAGAUGGGCCCGCGGCGCAUUAGCUAGUUGGUGAGGUAACGGCUCACCAAGGCGACGAUGCGUAGCCGACCUGAGAGGGUGAUCGGCCACAUUGGGGCUGAGACACGGCCCAGACUCCUACGGGAGGCAGCAGUGGGGAAUAUUGCACAAUGGGGGAAACCCUGAUGCAGCAACGCCGCGUGAGUGAUGACGGCCUUCGGGUUGUAAAGCUCUGUCUUCAGGGACGAUAAUGACGGUACCUGAGGAGGAAGCCACGGCUAACUACGUGCCAGCCGCCGCGGUAAAAC